rnacentral:lncRNA from 1 species
AAACACAUCACGCACACACACACACACACAUAAAUCACACAUCAAACACAAACACACACAAUACAGACACAUCAUACACACAUCAUACACACACACAUCACACACAGACACACACACAUCACACAGACACACACAAAAACACACACACCCAAACACAUCACACACACAUCAGACGCACAGACACACACACACACACCACACAUAUCACACACACACACAUACAUCACACACACACACACAUCACACAUAUCACAC